UACGUAGGGUGCAAGCGUUAAUCGGAAUUACUGGGCGUAAAGCGUGCGCAGGCGGUUUUGUAAGUCUGACGUGAAAGCCCCGGGCUCAACCUGGGAAUUGCGUUGGAGACUGCAAGGCUUGAAUCUGGCAGAGGGGGGUAGAAUUCAACGUGUAGCAGUGAAAUGCGUAGAGAUGUGGAGGAACACCGAUGGCGAAGGCAGCCCCCUGGGUUAAGAUUGACGCUCAUGCACGAAAGCGUGGGGAGCAAACAGG
rnacentral:rRNA from 1 species